rnacentral:lncRNA from 1 species
UAACUUUAAAUUAAAUUACUCUGAACAAAUUUACAAUUCCCAAAACCGGUGAUACAAGUCAUAAGCCUUUCUAAGAGUAGUUAUAUAAAAUAAAUACAACACUGUUCCAGAACGAGAAGGAAUCAAUGGAACGUAAAUACAAACGAAGGUGACUCCGAGGCCUGCGAACGCAACCACAAGUUACCGUGAGUCUCCACCGCGACCAUCUGUACAGCUACUAUCGAUCAAUACCUGGAUCUGUACACAAAAAUAUACAGAAGUGUAGUAUGAGCACACCACGGCGGUGCCCAAUAAGUAUCAAGACUAACCUCGGUAGGGUAGUGACGAGGAACAGUCAAGACACCUACUGGUCAAAUGAAAUGAACAAGAUAUGAUAGUGAAAUAUCGAGAUAAAGAUAACGAGAUAAUAUCAACAGAGGAGAAAAAUUAAAAUACAAACAGUAGGAACAAUAAAGGGAGAACAUGGGUAGUAACGAACGAUAAUCAAGUAAAUCAGAUAACCAGGUAAAUCAGAUAACCAAGUAAGUCAGAUAACGAAGUAAAUCAGAUAACCAAGUAAAUCAACACUGACAUAACAGGAAUAAAGACAAGUAAGAAUGUAUUCAAAUAAAGAAGGCAAUACCAACUCAAUCAAUCACAUCAUGUCUAGUACACAAUCCCGACCAUCUCAAUUCUCGGUAUCUCAUAUCAUAAUUCCAACUUCCGAACCUUCAACACACAUGGCAUCUUGUGCCCCCAUAAUUUCCAUUUCACUUUUAUCAACAAAAUCCACAUGUUAUACAAUACAUAAUGUCCGUACAAAUGCACUCAAGAUGUUCAAGAAGUCUCAUUUACCUAAUAUAAGUAAAUUACAAUUUCUAAAAUUAGAAAAGCCAGCGAGAAAAUAUGAAGUUGUUUCUUUUGAAAUUAUUUGAGUAAAGAAGGUACCCCUUUCAAUUAAAAUACAACAUCGAAUGGAUUAUUACCUUUAACAUGGGAGUUAAUAACUUAAAGCUUAGUAGAAAUUCUUUUUUUAGUAAAAUACAACCUCAGGCAGUUUAAAGGGAUAUAAUUGAGAAAAUAAUUGAAUUAAAGAUGUACAAUUAUUGAAGUUUGAAGUAUUGGAAUGUAUAUAUAUAAAUACGGCGAGGUAUUGAAAACACUGUAGGUUCCAACAUAAAGGAUCACAAAAAUAAAGGGAUUUAAAUAGUUAAAGUACUUGAAUUGAUAACAACAAAUAAACACAUCAACAGAAAGUGCACGACAUCACCCUUCAUGCUUUUACUCUCGUUAUCACUAUAAGAAUUAAUAUUCACUUUUAUUCUUUCUUGUUGAGACAUUCAACCCGAUCCUAAAUCAUAUAAUACCGUUGCGGCGUGCAACCCGAUCUCAUUUCACAUAAUACCGUUGCGGCGUGCAACCCGAUCCCAUUUCACAUAAUACCAUUGUGGCGUGCAACCCGAUCCCAUUUCAUAUAAUACCGUUGCGGUGUGCAACCCGAUCCCAUUUCACAUAAUACCAUUACGGUGGGCAACCUGAUCCCAUUUCACGUAAUACCGUUACGGCGUGCAACCCAAUCCCAUUUCAUAUAAUACCAUUCCGAUGUGCAACCCCGAUCCCCAAAUACAAUACAACAUCAAGCAUAAAAGAAUCCCAGCAAAGGAACAAGAGUAAAACAACAACAUCCCGGCAAGAGCGACAAUAUCGUAAACAAUAACAUCCAGGUAAGAGAAUCAACAAGUACAUCAUAAGGGUCACAGAAAAGAAACCAAGAAGCACGAUAACCUCAACAAAACAACAAGACAUAAUAAGCACGUGAUACUACACCGGUAACCACAACAAUUGGACAUGUAACAUAUUUGCACGAAGUCAUGGAAGAACUCACAAUCAAGAAGUAUCCAAAAUAAUAAGGGAGGCAAUCACUUCAAUUAAGACAAUUAAGGUUCACUUUAAUACGUAGGAAUUAGAGGAAAGUUAACAACAUCAUAUGAAGCAUAUAGAGGCAAUUCAAGAAAUUAUUAAACCCAAUUAUAACAGGAUACUUUCCACAUAAUGGACAUAAGAACCUAAGAAAUCUAGAGGCAAAUUUUCCACAAAUAAAUCCGAGCACACUGUUACAUCCCACAAUAUUACGAUGAUGUUACGCCUUGCAGUAUUACAUUACGAUGAUGUUACGCUUCUCAGUAUUAAGUUACUAUAUGUUGCACCGUAUAGUAUUGUACGUUGAAUUUGUCGUAAGGUAAUUGACAUCAGUCCAAGUAAAAGAUUAUUUGGAGAUUAUAGAGAUUAUGCUAUUUCACAAGUAAUGAGUAAAUUCGUGAAGGUGAAAGGGGAAUCAAUUCAAAGAAAAUAAAUUUUUGUCAAAGUUUGGCAUUUUGGGGUAAAAUACGGUCCGAGCUAAAAAAUCCGGUAUUUAUGGACUAGUGUCAUACGAGGUACCACAUGACAAUGAUAGUAAGGUGUAUAAAGUGUGUUAAAAGUGAGUAGUAUUUUGAGUAACUUGAGAUAAUUCUUGAUUAUGUGGGUAAUUGAUUAAUUAUUGAUUUAGUGAGAGAUUAACCAAAUUAAUUAAAGGUUGUGGAUAAUUAUUUAAGUAAGAUUUUGAUAAUUAUUAGGGGCGACAACAAUCUACGUGGGAUUAUGAAGAUACCAAAUUGCCAACUAAUCUUAUACUUAAGGAGGAUGUGGCACUAUCCAUGUGCACCUUAUCUUAUUUUGGAUUCAAAGAUUCUAUUAAGGCUUCUCUAAAUUGACAAAGUGAAAGGCUUAUGAGUUUGUAAACCUACAACAACAAUAAGGAUGAUUUUUUUUGAAAAAGUGGGAUGUAUUAAUUCAUUUUGGAGGAAAGUUGAACAAGGUCUUUAUUGCUAAGCUACUAUAGUAUCUUUUGCUAAAGGAGCAGCAAAUUAAUGUACAAUGGAAAGAUGAACAACGUGAUAUUAAGGGAAGACACAUUUUCUAUUCAAGGUAAGAAAGGAUUAAGAUUUCUCUACUUCAUUCUCCCGUCAAUUUUACAUUUCUAUUACCGAUUCCUUAUGGUUGUUAGCGGAUCAAAGUUAGCUUGUAGUAAUGUAAAAGGGAAGGAAGUUUAAAAGAGGGAAACAAAAGUACACUCCAUCAUCAACGACUUUCUACAAGCUUGCCGCUAAUCCAUUGUUGUUGUGUUAUUGUCCUCUCUCGUAGAUUAACAUGUGUUGGAAGGGUUGUCGUUGUGGUUACUAAAGAAUUCCAACAAAGAUAAGUUAAGGCUAUCCCUUCUUUCUUUUGUCAUGAUCUAUACGACACAAACGAAACGUACAAAUGCACAAAUUCCAUAANNNNNNNNNNNNNNNNNNNNNNNNNNNNNNNNNNNNNNNNNNNNNNNNNNNNNNNNNNNNNNNNNNNNNNNNNNNNNNNNNNNNNNNNNNNNNNNNNNNNNNNNNNNNNNNNNNNNNNNNNNNNNNNNNNNNNNNNNNNNNNNNNNNNNNNNNNNNNNNNNNNNNNNNNNNNNNNNNNNNNNNNNNNNNNNNNNNNNNNNNNNNNNNNNNNNNNNNNNNNNNNNNNNNNNNNNNNNNNNNNNNNNNNNNNNNNNNNNNNNNNNNNNNNNNNNNNNNNNNNNNNNNNNNNNNNNNNNNNNNNNNNNNNNNNNNNNNNNNNNNNNNNNNNNNNNNNNNNNNNNNNNNNNNNNNNNNNNNNNNNNNNNNNNNNNNNNNNNNNNNNNNNNNNNNNNNNNNNNNNNNNNNNNNNNNNNNNNNNNNNNNNNNNNNNNNNNNNNNNNNNNNNNNNNNNNNNNNNNNNNNNNNNNNNNNNNNNNNNNNNNNNNNNNNNNNNNNNNNNNNNNNNNNNNNNNNNNNNNNNNNNNNNNNNNNNNNNNNNNNNNNNNNNNNNNNNNNNNNNNNNNNNNNNNNNNNCCCAUAGUGGCUGUAAAUAAUGAUUCAAACGGCGUUAUAUACGCAUAUAUAUGUAUGUAUAUAUAUAUAUAUCAUAACAUAUAGGACUUAAAUAUCAUAACAAACUUAUACUGGGCUCCGGAACAAAAAUAUAGGCCCGAUACCAACGAUUUCAAACGAGUUAAUUAUAGGUUUUCUAUCAUUUUCCCUAAAAAGUCAAAAUUUGACCCCGGGCCCGCUUGGUCAAAACUCGAGGUUCGGACCAAAACUCGAUUACCCAUUUACCCACGAGCCCAAAUAUGUAAUUAGUUCUAGUAUCCGACCCCAAAUCAAGGUCUAAAUUCCCAAAUUUGCAAAAUUUCCAAUUUUUUCCAAAAUCCCUAAUUCUACCAUGAAAGAACAAGAUUUAGGCCUAAAAUGCUAAUGGGUGUUGAUGGAAAAUGAAAGAAAUGGGUUUAAGAAUACAAACCUAUGAUUUGAUGUUGAAAUGUCUCUACAAAAUUCGCCCAAGGUCACUUUCUAUGGAGGAAAAUAUAAAAUUUUGGUCUAAUCCCAUCUUUGGUUCUGUUUUUAAAACACUGGACAGACCUUCUUCGCGUUCGCUAAGGGUCUGUCGCGUUCGCGAUGUUUUGCGGCCAGAAGGGCCUUCGCGUUCACGAUGAGCUGCUCGCGUUCGCAUCUGUCCCCCCCGACCAUCACGUUUGCGGGCCUGGGAUCGCGUUCGCGAAGAGCAACUCAGAGACUCCCUCAGCGCCCCUCCAUUACACUACGCGUUCGCAUAUGGUCGGUCGCGUUCGCGAAAAGAAAUCUCCCCCAGUGCUCCGCAUUCACGAACAAAGCCACGCAUUCGCGUAGAAGAAACCCUUCCCCAAGCCAGCUUGCACUUCGCGUUCGCGAAGCACAUAGCAUUAGAACACCAAAAGCAGCAAUACAACAGAAAUUCCUAAGUCCAAAACAUCUCGAAACCUAUCUGAAACUCUCCCGAGCCCUCGGGGCUCCAAACCAAAUAUGCACACAAGUCUAAAAAUAUCAUAUGGACUUAUUCGUGCGAUCAAAUUGCCGAAAUAACAUUUUAAACAACAAAUUUAGCAUUAAAAUCAAUGAAAAUCUCAAGAACUCUUAAAGUUACUAUUUUCACAACCGAGGGUCCCAAUCACGUCAUAUGAAUUCCGUUUCUUACUAAAUUUUACAAACAUAACUUAAAUACCGUAUUAAACGUGUACCAGGCUCCGGAACUAAAAUACGGGCCCGAUACCAUCGAAAUCAAGCAUCAUUAAAUUUCCAAAAACUCUUAUAUUUUCAGUUAAAUAAUUUUCCUCAAAAAUUUAUUUCUCGGGCUAGGGACCUCGGAAUUCAAUUUCGGGUAUACGCCCAAGUCCCAUAUUUUUCUACGGACUCUGUGGGACCUUCAAAUCAUGGGUCCAUGUUCGUUUACCCAAAAUAUUGAACGAAGUCAACUUAAUUUAAUUUUUAAAGGCAAAAUUAGCAUUUUUCUCAAAUUUUCACAUAAAGGCUUUCCGUAAGAGUGCCCGGACUGUGCACGCAAAUCAAGAAGAAAGAAAAUAAGGUCUGAAGGUCACGGAACCCGGAUUGGGUUCUAAAACACGAGAUGACCUUUUGGGUCAUCACAUUUGUGAACUUAUUCACCCACCUAGUGGGUCAUUUAGAUAUUUUAUGAUUUUAAUAGAUGCAUCAUCUAGAUGAUCUCAUGUGUGUCUAUUUUCAUCUCGCAACCUCGCAUUUGCGAAAUUAGUGGCACAAAUAAUUCGAUUACAUGCACAAUUCCCCGAUAAUCUAAUUUAGUCUAUUAGGCUUGAUAAUGCUGCUGAGUUUUCAUCCCAAGCAUUUAAUGAUUAUUGCUUAUCAAUUAGGAUAAGAGUGGAACAUCCUGUAGCUCAUGUUCACACUCAAAAUGGUCUUGCAGAGUCUUUAAUUAAACGUUGGCAAUUGAUAGCAAGACCGUUACUCAUGAAAACGAGGUUACCCACUUAUAUUUGGGGUCAUGUCAUUUUGCAUGCAACAAUCCUAAUUCGUCUUAGACCGACAAAUUAUCAUAAAUAUUUUUCGUUGCAAUUAGUUUUGGGUCAUGAACCUAAUAUAUCCCAUUUAAGAAAAAUGAGGUACAAAGAUAUAAGGCACGCCUUGUUGCACAAGAAUUUUCACAAAGGCAUGGUGUCGAUUAUAAAGAGACAUAUUCACCCUUUAUGGAUGCUAUAAUAUUCCGUUAUCUCAUUUGUUUUGCUGUCUAUGAAAAGCUUGACAUGCAUUUAAUGGAUGUGGUUACCACCUAUCUUCAUGGCUCACUUGAUAAUGAGAUAUACAUGAAAAUUCCCGAGGGAUUUAAAAUGCCUAAUGCAUAUAAUUCAAAGUCCCGGCAAAUAUUUUCAAUCAAAUUGCAAAGAUCUUUGUAUGGUGUAAAGCAAUCAGGACGAAUGUGGUAUAAUCAAUCGUCUUAGUGAGUAUUUAUUAAAGGAAGGCUAUAUAAAUGAUACCAUUUGCCCAUGUAUUUUUAUAAAGAAAACAACAUCAGAAUUUGUUGUACUUGCUGUAUAUGUUGAUGACAUAAACCUUAUUGGAACUCCUAUAGAACUCCAAGGCAAUUGAUUAUUUAAAGAGGGAAUUCGAGAUGGAAGAUCUCGGAAAGACAACAUUAUGCCUCAGUUUGCAAAUUGAACAUUUGGCAAACAGAAUUUUCGUCCAUCAAUCUACCUACAUAGAAAAGGUAUUGAAACGGUUUUACAUGGAUGUAGCACAUACAUUAAGUACUCCGAUGGUUGUUCGAUCACUUGAUGUGAAUAAGGAUCCAUUCCGACCUUAAGAAAAGAAUGAAGAGCUACUUGGUCCUGAAAGCAAUUGGUGCACUAAUGUAUCUUAUUAACAGUACAAGGCCUGAUAUAACUUUUUCAGUUAAUGUCUUAGCAAGAUAUACCUCCGCUCCUACAAGGAGACAUUAGAAUGGAAUCAAACACAUAUUAUGGUAUCUAAAAGAGACUACCGAUAUGAGCUUAUUUUAUGGCAAUAAUUGCAGUUUCGAUCUUGUUGGUUAUGCCGAUGCUGGGUAUUUAUCUGACCCACAUAAGGCUCGAUCUCAAACAGGCUAUGUGUUUACAUGUGGAGGUACUCAAUAUCUUGGCGAUCGACUAAGCAAUCAAUCGUGGCUACUUCAUCUAAUCAUGCUGAGAUAAUUGCUAUUCAUGAAACAAGUCGAGAAUGUAUGUGAUUGAGGUCUAUAAUACACCUUAUUCGAGACAAAUGUGGUUUGAAAUGUGACACUCUACCCACGAUUUUGUAUGAAGACAAUACAACAUGCAUAACCCAACUGAAGGGAGGAUUCAUAAAAGGAGAUAGGACAAAACACAUUUCACCAAAGUUAUUUUUUAUGCAUGAUCUUCAAAAGAAUGGUGCUAUCAAUGUGCAACAGAUUCGUUUAAGUGAUAAUAUAGUUGAUUUGUUCACCAAAUCUCUACCGACGUCAACCUUCAAGAAGCUAAUGUACAAGAUCGGGAUGCGAAGACUCAAUGAUAUGAAUUGAUGCUCUCAUCAAGGGGAGUUAAUACACAUUGUACUCUUUUUUCCUUACAAGGUUUUGUCCCGCUGGAUUUUCCUUACAAGGUCUUUAACGAGGGAACUAAAAGGCGUAUUGUUAGAUAUGUGUAUUCUUUUUCCUUUACUAGAAUUUUUUUCCCACUGAGUUUUAUUUUAGUUAAGGUUUUAAUCGAGGCACAUUAUCUGUUGAAUAGACAUUUAAUGGAGAGUGUUAUAAAUAGAGUUUUAUUUACGAUGAAUGUCUAUAUUUUGGAGAGAUUUUAGGAAUUUUACUUGGUGACUAAGUCACUCUUUUCUUAUAGAAGGGCAUAUUCCAUUGUAAUUCAUCUCAAAUAUAUAAGAAUUCUCUCUAUUUCUUUGCAAUAUCCUUCUUUAUUGUUUUAUUUCAAUAAGUUAGUUGAAGAUGAAAUUAAAAUAAAAACGGAUUCAAUUCAUUUUAAUAUACUACUCUACAAGAUACUACGCGUAGCCAUUUUUAAGACGCUUCUUAACAGAUACCACUCUUCUCCUACUGUGCUGGAACCUGGUCUUCUUCAUCUUUCGAAGUCGCAAGCUAACGUGUAAGUUCCCCUUUUCUUUUUGUCCUCAAUUAGCAAAAUCUUUCUUAUUACAGCCGAUUUCAUUUUCCAUUCAUCUCAGUUCGACAGUUUCUUGUAUUUAAUAUCAUUUUAUUUAACGUACCCCUAAAAUCUGAAUAAGUCCAGAUGGAUUUUUGAGUUAAUUUAAUUGAACAUGAUAACUAUUAUUUUUUGUAAUUAACUAUUUUUUCGGUCUGCAACAAGUAAAUUUGGGAAUAUACAACAGCUGGAUUAUUUAAAGGCUUACUCUGUACCUCAACAGGAGUAUUUACAGAUUCAAGCAUCAUGUAGUUGCACUUGCACACAGCUAAUAAACAUUUUUGUACCUUAGUUGUGAUUUAUUCCUUCUACUUCUCCUUUUGAAGGUUUAUUUUGCACUAGUAGUCUGAAGUGUAAGAUCUCAAAAACCUUAAGUCUGUUGUGAAUACAAACACGUUGGCAGCUGACAAAGAUGACAGGGAGGAUGCCACUAGUGACCAUCACAUGGAUCUGCCACUUAGGAGUUUUAGAACAGUAAUUCCUCCGGUUAAACUUGGGGAUUACGUUUGGAAAGGAGGAGGGACACGUAAGUAAAAUGACAGAGUUUGUUAGAAAGAUAAAAGCAACAGUAGUGCGGCAUUGCGAGGCAGGCAAAAAUGUUAUGAGUGAUUUCUGGUUUUCUCAUCCCUUUCUUCUGUUUCCUCAUCUCCUUCCUCUACCUAUCUUAGCUACUUUCCUUUUGCAUUUUCAUUUGUAAUUCAGUCAAUUGACUGUUGCAAGUUACUGUCCAAUUUGUAAUUGUUCUCCAGUUAACUAACAUCAAUUAGAUAGUUUGGCUACUGUUUCAUUGAGUAAUAGUUGGCAUUACAUUGGUGCUUUCAUUUUAUAGGUCUGUGAUGGAAGACCAACAACAACUCAAGGCUCUCAUUGCCGACUCGGUUCAGGAAGUGAAGGAUUCCAUUUCUAAAGAACUCGCUGAGAUUCGUGGGAUUCUCCUGGAGGUUGUCGGAAACAGAGCUCUGGCAGGUCGGGGACAAGAGGUAACCACUCUUCGUCACAAGCCGGCUUCGGUGGAGUUUGGUCAAUUUUGCGGCGAGAAUCCAGAGGCUUGGUUAUUUCAAGCGGAGCGCUACUUUGCUCAUUAUGAAAUUGCGGAUGAUGAGAAGCUCACUAUUGCAUCGUUUUACCUCGACGGCGAUGCCUUAGAAUGGUAUCGAUGGUUGUACUGGAAUAAGCAAUUGGCGGGUUGGGAGCAUUUUGCAGAGAAGGUACGGAUUCGUUUCCUUCCUAAGGGGCUCGAAUCUGCUGAAGGACGGUUGGCCAAGCUCCGGCAAAUCACCACCGUAUCUGAGUUACAAAGCCGCUUUGAGAAGAUAGCAAACGAGACUACUGACAUCUCUGAUCGGCUCUUGGUACGUCUUUUUGUUUCUGGGCUGCGUACUGAUAUUAAGAGUUCUGUUUUAGCCCAUCGGCCCACUACAUAUGAGGAUGCUGUACAUUUAGCCCAUAUUCACGAGAAACGUAUCCUAGCUGAAAAAGGCCCACCUCGCCCCGCAUUUGCCAAUAGAACUCCGCCCCUUUUACCCAACCCUGAUACAGUCCCAAAUAAUAUUUCCUCCACCUCUGUCGGCCCUUCCAAUUCACCACCGCAAAACCGCCCACCCAUUAAACGAUUAUCCCAUGCUGAACUUCAGAGCCGUCGAGAGCGGGGUCUUUGUUAUUAUUGUGAGGAAAAGUAUACCGCAGGUCAUAAGUGUAAAUCGCCUCCUCAAUUAUUGCUCCUCACCAAUGAGCCGGAGGUGGUUUUAUCCAUGCCGGAACCCUUCCUCUCUGAUGAAGUAUUGGCAGAGGAGUUGCAAUGUUUGGAGAUACAGGAACAUUCUACUAUCUCGUAUCACGCUUUAACUGGUGGUCAUUCCCCAUCUACACUCCGAUUCACUGGGCAGAUUAAUGGCUCCUCUGUUCAGGUCUUAGUGGAUGGAGGAAGUACCCACAACUUCGUCCAACUGCGAGCCGCGAAGUACUUACAACUGUUUGUGGACUCCAUUUCCCCUGUCGCUGUUAUGGUGGGUAGCGGCCAUCGCCUUAGGUGUGAGGGAGUGGCAAGGCAGACCACCCUUUUACUUCAAGGGAGCACGGUGGUAGAAGAUUUUUAUGUCCUACCAUUCGAGGGGUCUGAUGUGGUAUUAGGGGUAUCAUGGCUCGCCAAAUUAGGUCCUGUACUUACUAAUUAUGCCACUAGGGAAUUUGAGUUCAACUGGAAUGGGUGUCGAGUGAAGUGGCAAGGGGAACCCUCUAUUGAUAUUCAACCGAUACAGUUACAUAGCUUGCGAAGGAUGGCUGCCACCGACGCUAUUGCUUCAUUCUUUCAUCUGGAAAUGCUUUGUGGGGAGGUAGCAUCCGUGGUGGCACCCACUGCAGAGUUAGCGUCCCUUUUGGACUCUUUUGAGGAUGUUUUUCAAAAAACAGUGGGCUUACCACCCUCACGUGCCCAAGAUCAUGCUAUACAUCUCAUUCCGGGCGCGCAACCUGUUAAUGUGAAGCCCUACAGGUACCCCUAUUUUCAAAAGCAAAUUAUGGAACAACUAGUUGCCGAUAUGCUCAAGGAAGGUGUGAUUCGAGCAAGCGCUAGCCCUUUCUCUUCUCCAGUGCUGCUGGUCCGUAAGAAGGAUGGCACAUGGCGAUUUUGUGUCGACUAUAGAGCAUUGAAUGCACUGACCAUCCGUGAUCGCUUUCCAAUCCCUACCAUAGACGAAUUGUUUGAUGAGUUAUUUGGGGCACAAUUUUUUUCCAAGCUGGACCUUCUUUCUGGGUAUCACCAGAUAAGAGUUAAGCCCGAAGAUGUGGCUAAGACCGCAUUUCACACUCAUGAAGGUCAUUACGAAUUCCUCGUCAUGCCCUUUGGCCUUACUAACGCCCCCUCUACAUUCCAGGCGCUAAUGAAUGACAUUUUCAGACCAUGUUUACGGCGCUUUGUCUUAGUAUUUUUCGAUGAUAUAUUGGUCUAUAGUCCAGAUUGGGAGGCACAUCUGGAGCAUUUGGAACUUGUUCUGUCCUUGCUUCGAAAGUAUCAGUUGGUCGCCAAAAGAUCUAAGUGUCUAUUUGGUCAGCAGUCGGUGGAUUAUUUGGGGCACGUUAUUUAUGCUCAAGGGUUGUCUGUUGAUCCUGCCAAGAUUGCUGCAAUUCAGCAAUGGCCUAUCCCUCGCUCUGUAAAAGAUGUCCGUAGUUUUUUGGGAUUAGCCGGGUAUUACCGGCGUUACAUUCAUCAUUAUGCCGCGAUUGCCGGGCCACUUUCAGACCUAUUGCGGAAAGACUCUUUCAAAUGGAGCGAGGCAGCACAAGAAGCUUUCGAUGCAUUGAAGUCUAAGUUGGCUGCGACACCUGUUUUGACUUUGCCGAAUUUCAACCAGGAAUUCCAAUAGAGACAGAUUCUUCGGGGCAAGGCAUUGGGGCUAUCUUAUCACAAAAGGGUCAUCCUAUAGCCUAUUUCAGCCAGAAGUUGUGUCCAUGAAUGCAAAAUGUCUCGACUUAUCACAGAGAAAUGUUUUCCAUUACUCAAGCUGUGAGUAAAUGGCGACAGUAUUUGUUGUGGAGAAAAUUUACCAUUUAUACGGAUCAACAGUCCUUGAAGAAUCUCACAAAUCAGACCAUUCAAACACCUGAACAAUAGAAAUGGCUCACAAAGUUGGUGGGCUAUGAUUUUCGCAUCGUGUGUCGGCCCGACAAGCAAAACAUUGUAGCUGAUGCCCUGUCUCGUACCCCUGCUGCUUCUUUAAUGGUUCUGUCUGUCAACACCUUCGCAAUCGAACAAGAAUUGAAAGCUCUAAAUCAGUCCCACCCUGAGUUAUUAGAUAUACAGCAGCGUUUACAGCAAAAAGAUGUGAACUUCUGCGAGUAUCAAUGGAAAUAAGGUCAUCUGUUUUACAAAGGAAGAUUGGUGGUUCCUUCAGAUUCACCACUCCGCCAUAAGCUCAUGUUCGAUUUCACUCUUCAUCCAUUGGCGGCCAUGCUGGGGUAGCCCGAACCUAUCACCACUUAGCUUCCAAUUUCUUUUGGAACCACAUGCGACGAGAUGUUAAAUCCUUUGUAGCUGCAUGCCAAGUUUGUAAGCAGAUGAAGGAUACUCAUUUGCAUUCAGCGGGGUUGUUACAACCCCUUCCUAUUCCUGACCAAGUGUUUGAGGAUAUUGCAAUGGAUUUUAUCACUUGUCUUCCAAGUUCGAAAGGGAAGACUACAAUCAUGACAAUAAUUGAUCGUUUAUCCAAAUAUGGGCACUUUAUUCCAUUGCCAUCUACAUUCUCUACUCAAUUGGUUGCAGAAGCUUUUGUCGUGGGUGUAAUUCAGCUUCACGGUCCACCAAGAACUAUUGUAACUGACCGAGACCCUAGGUUCUUACACUCUUUUUGGCAAGAGCUCAAUCGCUUACAGGGAUCUACUUUGGCUAUGAGUACUGCCUAUCAUCCCCAAUCGGAUGGGCAGUCUGAAGCUCUAAACAAAUGUGUCGAGCAGUACCUCCGCUGCUAUGUUGCUGUUGUUCCUUCGCAAUGGGUAGCUAUGCUGCCGUGGGCUGAAUAUUGGUACAACACAGCCUACCAAACAUCAGCAGGGAUGACUCCGUUCCAUGCCUUGUAUGGUCGUGAACCCCCGACUAUUGCCCGUUAUAUACUAGGCAGCACUGCUAGCGGGUUGGUGGAGACUUAUUUGCUACAACGGGAUGAAGUGCUGCAGUUGCUCAAGCACAACUUGGCCAAGGCGCAAACACGCAUGAAAACUCUAGCUGACAAGUCGAGGACUGAGGUUGCCUUUGAGAUUGGGGAUUGGGUUUACGUCAAAUUAAAACCCUAUAGGCAGGUAUCCCUUCGUUUGCAAAAGGAUCACAAAUUAGGUAGACGAUACUUUGGUCCUUUCCAGGUCCUCAAAAGGAUCGGCUUAGUGGCAUAUAAGUUGGAGCUUCCAGAGGCGGCUAAGAUUCACCCUGUUUUUCAUGUCUCUACUAUGCUCAAGCGAUAUGUGGGAAGCCCAGACCAACAAAUUAUGCCGCUAAAUCUGUUUGAUUUCGCCAAUGACUCUUCCCAGCUCGAUCCAAACCUUGAGGACAAGGUUGUUUUUCAGGGAGAGAGUAAUGUUGUGAAUACAAACACGUUGGCAGCUGACAAAGAUGACAGGGAGGAUGCCACUAGUGACCAUCACAUGGAUCUGCCACGUAGGAGUUUUAGAACAGUAAUUCCUCCGGUUAAACUUGGGGAUUACGUUUGGAAAGGAGGAGGGGCACAUAAGUAAAAUGACAGAGUUUGUUAGAAAGAUAAAAGCAACAGUAGUGCGGCAUUGCGAGGCAGGCAAAAAUGUUAUGAGUGAUUUCUGGUUUUCUCAUCCCUUUCUUCUGUUUCCUCAUCUCCUUCCUCUACCUAUCUUAGCUACUUUCCUUUUGCAUUUUCAUUUGUAAUUCAGUCAAUUGACUGUUGCAAGUUACUGUCCAAUUUGUAAUUGUUCUCCAGUUAACUAACAUCAAUUAGAUAGUUUGGCUACUGUUUCAUUGAGUAAUAGUUGCCAUUACUAAGUCUAUGGAAUAUUGGAGAUUCAAACAACACUUUUUUAAGUGAAGUAUAAGGAACAAAGAAAAAAAUAGAGAAAAUUACAACAUAUUAAUCAGCACCAGCAGUUCAGGUCCUUUGCUUUUUGCUGACUAUAUGAGGCUUCUCCUCCUUGAAUUUGUGUAUUAUGGUUAGAAUGUUAGACUUUAGAUUAUGUAUAUUAUCUCACCUUAGAAAAAAAAUUAUUGUGUAGGCAUCUGUAGUAGCUUCUAUCUCUACCUUCACUAGGUAAGAGUUCUCUACCUUCACUAGGUAAGAGUAAGGUUUGCGUACACACUAUCCUCCCCAAACCCUACCCGUGGGAAUACUGGGUUUUUUGUUGUAGUUGUUGUUGUAUCUGUAGUAGCUUCUAUGUACCAAUCUCUUCACUUAUUUUUGAUAGAAUGAGCUUAAUCAAGAAUCCGAUUACUAUUUUUAUUCGCGAUUUUAGUAUUUAAGUUAUAAUAGGAUAUAGUUAAAACAAGCUAAGAGCUCGAAACUGGCAUCUAAGUCUUAAGCCCAAGUUCUGUAUUUAGAGCUAUGAUUGGACAUGUUUCUGAGCGAAAAGCUCAUGAAACUAGAAGUAUUACAAUAUAACCAAAAGUGUUUGUAAGAAGUAAUUUCUUCUCAAAUGUAUUGCUAUCCCAAAACACUGUCAAUAUAUGUUACAUUACCAUAAGUCAAAGCCUUGUAUUCAAAUGUUCGAAUACUCACUUAUCCUGCGGGCGAAGAAAUAGGUUUUUGCCUCAAUUAGAGCAAAUAUUUGUCCUAAGAAUAUCAACUAGCCACACUAUUAUAUCGGGGUUUUCUUGUUUACGGAUAGCAGAGGAGCAGUAUUCCUUUAUCAGAAGUGGUGAAGCCUUUUCAAAAAGUUUUGAUUAUAUCUGCCGUUCAUGGAUAUAGUUCAAUUGGAGCAUUUGGAUGUAUGCUUGCUUAAACUAGUAGACAUUCUGAAUAUGAGCUUGUCUUUUUCAGGGUUUGAAGUCAUUAUACGAUCAGCAAUGCCUCACAGAAGUCGGCCUAUGAGAGCACUUCUACUGUUUACCGGACUUAUAACCUGUUUGGCCAAACUUCUUUUUGGCCGAAAGUAAUUUUUUUUUUUGCCAAAAAAAUUGAGGCGUUUAGCCAAGCUUUUGGAAGGAAAAAAAAUGCUUUUGAGGAGAAGCAGAAGCAGAAAAAAGUAGUUUCUCUCCAAAAACACUUUUUUGAGAAGCAUUUUUGAGAAAAAUACACUUAGAAACAGUUUUUUAAAGCUUGGCCAAACACUAAUUGCUGCUCAGUGUUUUUCAUACUAAUUAGCCAAACACAAACUACUGCUUCUCACCAAAAGUACUUUUAAGAAAAACACUUUUGAAAAAAAGCACUUCUCAAAAUAAGCUGAUUUUUGCAGCUUGGCCAAACAGGCUAUUAACGUUGUUUUGGUCUCAACAAUAACUCCUGUCUAUGAUUUUGUAUGCUUCCAUCCUUAUUGGGAAAGAAGAGUAAGGCACCUCUUUUCCUUGUAUCCGUAUAAACUUGAAAAAUUAUUCUUUCUUUCAGCACUCAAUGGCUUAUUUACAUCUUUUAUACUUCAUUCUUGACUGUGCAUCUUCCUGCCAUGAUAUUUUACCUGAUGAGAAAUACAUUAUAAAACACAUAAAACUUGUAGUGGUUAUGCUUGUUUAAAUGAAACUUACAGUUAUCACCAGCAUUGGCCAUAUUGUUGUGGCUUAAUUUAACGGGUUAUAUAGUUAUUGGUUACUCAGAGAUCUUGCUGUGUUUAGGCCAUCACUAUUCAGUAGGGGUGUUUCUAUUUCCUGUUAAAAGUGGACUUGAAGUGGAAUUGAAUUUUUCUCAACUUUUCCGUAACCAAUUGUACGUUCAGUAUAGUCUUUUUCUCCCUCUUGUUUUGUGACACUGCAUGGUAACUGGUAACUUACUUCCGUCAUCUAUGACAGAGAGAAUGUCAGCAUCAGGAACAUGAAGCAGCGUUGAGAGGUUAAGCAUCUGUAUUAUCGAGGUUGGGGAUUAUGUUUAGCCGGUCUUUAGUUUAAAUUGGUCACAAGACAAAACGAACUUAUAGAGGAUGUUGGAGACCUAAUUUGCUUCUGGUUUUAUUGUGUACCCUUGAGUUUCCUUGGUAUUUAUUUAGAGUAAAAUCAAGCUGUGUACAAGUAUUAAGAAUUGCAAUCGGAAGGAAAGAAAUACAAAGAUGAUAUUAGCUGACCUUUUCUUUUCAAAGAGACUUGUGUUAGAGAUUGUUUGAGGAACCUCUGUUACUCCCUCUCCGUUGGUGAUUCUUUGGCUGUCAAACCCUGGAUUUGGGUGUAAUAAGAGUAGCUGAAGAAGCCUGCAUUGCUUGUUGCGGUACCACCAUAUCUAGAGAAUGACGCUAAAACUUUUCAACAUCAAUCUAUAAAGAGUAGUGUUCUUGUGCUUUAUGUGAUAAUGCAGCACCAUUGCUCACUUCUUGUCACUUAUUUAAGUGGUCACACAAGAGAUUGGAGGAUUUUGUUUCUUUUAGUAUAGCUUUUAUCGUUUUAGUCUGGUUACAUCUUGGCCUCUCUUCUUUUAAGACAGUGAAGUUACUGUCCCAAUUUUCCUUUUUUUUUUUCUUUUUCAGCAGGGAAAGAAAAUGGAGUAUUAUCACUUUUAGCCAGAAACUAUUUAUAUCUGGCAGCCAAAAAAGUUCAUAAAAAUUGUAUAUAAUAUACAGAAUGUAUAUAUAUAUAGAAAAUAUGCAAUUUUUUUUUAAAUUUUUCCGACUAUUAUUUUUAUAGCGACUGUACAAUGUCAUUUUUUCAAGAAGAAUUGUAAAUUAUUUAUUGUAAAAAUUAUUUAUUGGAACUAUUAGUAAUAUACAAAUAGCAUCAUAAAGAUAAUAUCCUAAUUAACUAGUAGACUCAAAUUUGUUACAAGAUCAUAAUUUAUUGAAUUUUUAUUCAAUUCCUUCUAAACAUGAAAAUAGCUUUCAUUUGCUUUUUUUAUGCAUUGUUCUGGUGAAAGACACGAGAUUACUCAAGCUUUCACAAGUAUUUACGCUGAUGAAUUGUCUUAAUCUCCUUAGCCUCAAGUGUUUUUUUAUCUUUCCAAUAGCACGUAUUAAAAUAUUAAAUUUCAAUUAAUUCCCUUAAACUUUUAAAUAUAGGAAACAAUAGCUAUUUCCCAUUUUGAAUGAACUAGAGAACCUCCUUAGCUAACAUUUUCCAAACUUUAGAAUUAUGCUUGACUCACCUAUAAACUAGUCACAAUUUUUAAUUUUUUUUCAUAGUUUCCAAGAAAUAAUUUGAUGAAAUAUUUUCAAUAAUUAGAGGAGAAAUUUGUAAAAAUGUA